rnacentral:lncRNA from 1 species
CAAUGCCUGACCUGGGUGAAUUCAAGAGGGAAUGCAAAGAACAAAAUUGGAGACAUCAAAUAUAUCCUACUUUUUCAAAGAAAUUUGAUGCAGAAAGGAAGAUAGAAAUGAAUUGGUCACCAGAGGAAAAGUAAAGUCAAAACACUGAUUUUUUUUUUUUCAUUAUUGCUAUGUUACUGUUAUUUUUGAUAGAAGUGAUCUGUAUUUAUAGAAUGCUGGGAAUAAUCUAAUACAGGGGAAAACUUGCUGAUGAGAGAGAAGAGAGAAGAAUUGCUGAGACAGUGCCAAUGAGUAGGCAGCAGAAGAUAUGAUCUAGGGCACAAAUAAAGAGAUUGACCUUAGCCAGAACAUGGACACCUGGGUUAACAGAACAGAAGAUUGGACACAGAUUCAGGUAAGGAAACCAUUCAGAUGUGUGUACCCGUAGAGUCUCUUAACAUUGUUUUAUAUUCUAUAAGACUGAAAAGUAAAGCAGGAAGUGAAAUAAUCAGCUAGAGUAAUAACAGGAUGGUGCUGAUCCAAGGACAGAUGAAAAGUAGAAAGCACUUGGGAGACAGGGAGGGCAGAUGAACUAGGAACAUGCAAUAUAACUCCUGGGAAGUAUUUAGAACCCAUUCGUAGUUACUGAUCACAAAUUUAAAGUCAAUCAGUAUGUUUGUGUGUUUUUCUUUCUAAUACAGGAGCAGAAUAGGUCUAAGAGAAGCUUUCUAUAAAGUAAUAGAGACAGAUGUUGAGUUGAGAUGACUUGAAAAAGAACUGGUUCCAGAAAUCUUACUGAAAAACACAGCUCCCAAAUGACUCAACAUUUGAAGGGAAGCAUGAGAUUAGAGAUGUAAACUCCUCUCUUAAAGGUGGGAAACAUGGAUUGAGAGAUGCAUAGAAAGGAGUAACCUGAUGAUGCAGAAGAGAGGGUCAUGGAAGGUCUUGGAGCCCUGAUAAGAUGACAGAACAUAGAACACAGAACAAGUGCAGAAAUCAGUUGGCUUACUAGAGGCACAGGUUUGAGUAGAUUUGUAUGGAAUAUCAGUGGGAAGAUCUUCUGCUCUGAGCUUCUAUUUUUCUAUUUUUUUAGAUUGAUAAAUGAAAAAAUUAUAUGUAAUUAUUGUGUACAAAAUGUUGUUUUGAAUGUGCAUACAGUGUGGAAUGGUUAAAUCAAACUAUUUAACAUAUUCAUUUUGUCAAAUAUAAUUUUUCUCAGGAUAGUACAUAAAAUCCACUUUAUUAGCAAUUUUUAAAAAUAUAAUACAUUGUUAUUAACCAUGUUCACCCUGAUGCAUAAUAGAUCUCUUGAAUUUGUUCCUCCUAGCUGAUUUUCUUGGUCCUUUGGCAAACAUCUCCCAAAGCCCCCAAUACCUAGCCUUUGUAAACACUAUUCUGCUCUAUUUUUGUGAGUUCAACUUUUUUCACUCCACUUAUGAGAUCAUGUGACAUCUCUUUUGUCUGGCUUAUUUCACUUAACAUAAUGUCUCCAGGUUCAACCAGUUGUCACAAAGGACAGGAUUUCCUUAUUUUUUUUAUGGCUGAAUAGUGCUCCAUUGUGUCUACAUUCCACAUUUUCUUUAUCCAUUUAUCCAGUGAUAGAAACUUAGAUGGACUCCAUAUGUUGGCUGCUGUAAAUAAUGCUGUAAACAACAUGGGAGCUCUUUGACAUACUGAUUUCAUUUCCUUUGGAUACAUACCCAGUCCUGGGAUAACUGGAUCCUAUUUUGUUAAUGAUAAUAAGAUGAGGUCAUUAGUAGAAAAGAAGAGGGGAGGUGUAGGAAAUUGAAGGAGAGAGGAGACAGUAUUAAAUAACUCUCUUCACAGGAUAGGCAAUUGUACUUAACUCUGGUAGCACAGCAUGAUUCCUGGCCAACAUCAUUAAAUGCCCAUUUGAGGUUUGUUACCCAGGAUGUCAAGUUAAAACCACUGUUUUAAAAUUAAAAUAGUCAAUCUGGUUCUGUGAUUUUCUUCGGCAAGUGGCUACUGAAAAGCUAAAGAGGGGUAUCCUAAGGGGGACCCACAAGUCUAUUGGUCUCCAAUUAUGAGAAUACCCUAUCUCUAGAUCCAAGGAAGGGUAGCAGAAAGUAGAACCAGAGGGUGACCUUAUGUGUUAUUCUGACUGCUGAUCGUUUUAAAUGAGUUUCUAUUUUAAGAGCCUGGAUGUCAAUAGAGCUUAAUUUAAUCAGUUUCUUACAGGUUAAAAAGGAAAUUGAAAAUCCAAGUGAGUACUGAGACAUAUUUUCAUCAGAAGCUCAGACUAACAGCUAAGAGUAUUAAAGGCAAAGUAGGAGGAUGGCUUCUCGAUUUAUUCCAAGACAGCUGUGACCUUGCAGAUUCUUUGACUGGAAUCCUAUCUAUCUGGAUCUUAUCAGGAUCUGCUGGGUACUUGUUGGGGAAUCUCUCCUUGCCCUGACCUAUCACUUCUGGGAAUGGUCACAGAAUCAUCAAUCCUGACUUUAGUACAAGGAGAUUUUAGGAGCUCUAACCCAGAGCUCAGUGGUUCCUAACCCCCUUACUCUGGCUAGGAAGCCUUUUAUAAUGUCUCUUUAGUUAUUCUCCCGGGUUCCUUUCUUACCGCUCCAGUUAUAUUACACUACCUAUAGAUUCUCCCACAACUCAUACUUCCAAGAAAUUCUCCUCUUCCAUCUAUAACACCCUUCACUGUCUUAUCCACCUGGGGAAUUGUUAUUGGACUCCAAAAUAUCACCUCUUCAUGUUUUCUUUGAUUCCCUCCAUCCUUAAUUUUUCCACCAGAACCUCAUAUUGGGCUUUAGAAGCUCUUGCCACAUUAUGUUGUGAUUUCUGUGUCUGUCUAUCACAGUGUUCCUGAAGGACUGUGUCCAAUUUAUCCCUGGAGGCCUAGAACUUAACACAAUGCCUUGCAUUUGAAAAGCACUUAUGUUUGAUAAAUAACAGCAUCAGACCCAACUUAUUGUAGGAAAAAACAACAGAUUUAGAAAGACACUUUUUACACUUUCCCUAAGAUCAAACCCCAAACUAUUUCAAGAUCUAUAGAUCUAUAGAUUUUUAAGAUUCGGGAAGCUAGUAUAGUGAAGUAGUUAAGUUAGAGACCUGGAAUUGAAACUUGGUGCCACCAUUCAUUAGUCAAGUGGCACCUCAGUUACCUCUUUUUCCCUGCAUUACUGCAUAUGCUUAAUGAUAAAUAUAAGAUAAUUGACUUCAUAAGAUUACUGUAUUUACUGUAAAUAUUACAUGAGACAGUGGAUGCAAUAUAUGCUUAAGUCAAUGUUUUCAGUGCUUGGCACAUAAAGGGUGACAAACAUUCGUUAAGUUACCAUGAUCAGUCUUGUGAAUCCUAAUUAUCUGCAAGUUAGAUUCUUGCUGAUGUGUCUGUGUCUGAACCCUUAUCUUGAGAUUAUAAGCAUUGUAUUUGCUCAGCAAAUGCAUCUCUGCCUUGCCUUCUCUUCCUUCCCAUCCAUACUACCUCCCCAAGAGGUCUGCUCUUCCAAAGGUAGGAGACUGGCACUGGUUAGCAAAUCUCACUCCUCUUCACCAUCUGCCUGCAUCUUUAAACACUACUGCGUGAAAGUUCCCAGUCACCAUGCUCCACCUGCCUGCCUCAGUGGGCACUGCCAUCUCUGGUGGGGUCUCCUCUUGACUCCAGCUUCUUUGCCGGCUUUCCUUCCCAGCUGUCUGUACCCAGACUCAGCCUUCCCUUCUCCUCAAAUCUGUUUCCAUGUUCAAUAUCUUCCCCAUUCCCAGCUCCCUCUAGUCUGUCUUGAAGUGUCAUGGUUUACCCUAUUCCUCAACUCUGGCUAUAACAUGCAUUUUUUUUUUCUUUGUGGCACUGGGAAUAGAGCCCAAGGCCUUGUACUUGCUAGGCAGGUGCACCAUGAUGCAGGUCUUAAAUCUGCUAUGAUACUUGUGCUGAACAAUAACGACCAGGUUAUCACUGCACACAAGAGAGUGUGCUGACCCUGUCAGAUUGCUUUCUCCAAGGAUCCUCAUAUAAUCACACAUAUUGGGUGAUACUACAAUUUGUUAGUUUUAACCAAAGCCAUCUAAAUAGCCCAAUCAUUUCCUUCUAGCUGGAGGACUCAAGUAAAAGUGUUCCAGCUGUAGUGGAUGGUGCUUAAACACAUGAUGCUUUUAGUUUUUAUUCAAAUGAAUUUUCCAACCAAAGCUUCAGGCCUAUUUGAUAUUUUGACUAGAAUUCUCCACUCUACUACCACUACCAAAUAAUCUGAGAAAAUUAGGUGAAUUUGCAGCAGAUGUAAAUAUGAGGAAACAAGGAGAAUCCAUACCUAAAUAUUUAUUUUACAAGUCUCAGAAUUAGAAAUGACCACAAUUGAUUCAUUUAAACAAAACCCUCAGUCAACUGAAUGGCAAAUAUAGGGAAAGAGGGAGGAAGAGGGAGAAGGGAAAUGCAAAGACACAGAAGUGGCUUCUGGAUAAAUAACAUUUUUAUGAACCCAGGGGUGCUUAACCACUGAACCACAUCCCCAACACUUUUUAUUUUGAGACAGUUCUUACUAUGUUAAUUAGGGCCUCACUAAAUUGCUGAGGUUGGCUUUGAAAUUGCCAUUCUCCUGCCUCAGCCUCCUGAGCCACUGGAAUUACAGGCAUACACCACCAUGCCUGGCUGAAUAAGUAAAUUUCUCUUAAAAAAGAGCUACCACGAGUCCAUUAAAGAGGCAUUUCUUUCACAUCAUCAAGCGUGUUAACAAUUUUAUUGGUAUUUUUCCUUUUUACUUUCAUAGAAUUUGUAUAAAUUUGUAUGAACAAAAUCAAUUCAUACAUGAUUAGGUUCUGCUUGUAUAAUUGUAUUUUAUAGAGACUGAUUUCUAGACCCAAGGACCUCCAUAACCUGAAAUAAAAUCCUUCUAAUACCAAGGAUACAUAUCCUGCAAAACAAAUGGGAAUUUAUUUAUUUAUUUUAAAUUUUCUAAGUAGAGAACUCAUGUGUUAAUAAAAGUAUUCCAUUCAUCAUGUUAGUGGUUAGUUAACAAGACAUGGGAAAUGAGGUGAGGACUGAAUUCAGAGAGAAAGAUCACUGUUUAUGGCAUUUUGAGUGACGAUUCAUUCAACAAUUGCAGUUUCUUUCCUCCAUAUUAAAAAGAAAAAAGAAAUUAAAGGGACUAAAUUAUCCUUCCUAGACUUGCAAAGAAUGCCAUCCAGACAAUUUGGAGGAGGUGGGGAAGGGGAGCUCUGCUGUCCUAAGACUUUAGCUAUAACCUUCCACAGGGAUUGGAGUAGAGAGAUUCACUACACAUCUGCAUUCCAGCAACCCACUCCCACAUGGAAGCUGCUAUUCCCUAGUGCCUGUUACUAAAUAUAGCUCCUGCAAUUCAGACUGACAGGAGAGCUCCUGCUGCUAUACCAGGAGCCAGCCUUCACUUCACACACUCCUAAUAUGGUCAGCCCUGCAGCCUGGCAGCCUGGGAGCCAGUGAGGGCUGCACACCCUUCCAAAGGUUAACCCUUUUGUGGAUGACAGAAGGGAAGCUACACUGACCACUGGCAGCUGCAGAUUCUCUGAUUACAAAAUAAAAUGGACUGGAAAUCUAGAAAUGAGAAUCCAGUCCACUUCCCAAAUAAAACUGUUUACAAUGGGUAAGCAUUAGAUCAAGGAAACAGGGCAAGGUGAUCUGCAAGAUGAACAAGUCCACAGGGCAUCCAAAUGGAACAGAAAAAAAAUAAAUAAAGGCAGGGAAGAAAACAUACUCAGGAGCAGGAAAGGCAUAGAAACAGGGACAGCAGGGGGACUGAGAAGGGCGAGCCACUCCCUCCCUGUGUUGUCUGCUCUCUGACAGCAGCUGCUGCCCAAGACAAAGAGGAAAACAGGUGUCCUUGCAGGUUUUUUACAACAGAUUCAAGCAGAGAGCAGAGGAUGGACCACUCGAUCUGCUUCAAACUCUUUGGGGGCACCACCAUGCCAAAGCCUGGGACAGUCCUGCAUUUCCAAGGGUUUAACUAGGGCUAUGAUUUUUGAAGGAAUAAUAAGAAAAAGGCAGCCUAGUUCCCCUUAAUAAUUCAGUACCACUGGGGUGAAAUAUUAAAAGUCUCUUUCUUCCUCCCCAGGAUGAAGCCUCUCAGGACUGGCAAGUUUAUAACUGAGAGAGGUGAUAUAUAUGAUAAAUAGAUGUACAUCAUGCCAGUUCUUCUCAGUGCCCCAUAGGCUCCCAUCUUUUCGGCAGUGUGUUUACAGGAAGAUGGGAAGGGUAAGGACUCUUAUAAAGUUACCAAGUUUUAUUCCAUCAAGGGUUCAAAUGUGAGAACUCUUGAAUAUGGGUUGGCCCUGCUCCUCACUGCUGGCCAGCAAAACUGAGCCUGUUUGCUUUGAAGUCCUAUACUAUAUAAACUGCUUUCCACAUUCUUUGUCAAGGUCAGAGUCUCCAGAAGGCACAUUGGAGGAGGCUUUAAAUUUGAACUGAGACAGUGGUUGGGUGAUUUGUGACAACUAGCAAGGACCUAACUCUGCCAGCUACCAUUUUCUCCCUAGUGAAAUCUGGUUGUGUUUGUGGAGUGAAUUUCUCUGCUCUCCAUCCCCACCCAGCUCUGUGUCUGCUCCCUUUGCAGCCCAAUCUUCAGGCUGCACAGGGGUGUCCUUUGCUGAGGGCCAGGUGGAGACCUGUAGGGAAAAUCUCCCUCCUUCCAUAGAGACAUGGCCUCCCUAGCUUUGCUAGGGUAGUGAAUAAAGAUAGAAUAAUGAAUGAAAUAAGAUCACCACCUGCAGCCUUGGUAGGGCUACGGGUGGCUCUGUCCCUUCCGGGAUAGCCUCUGCCACCUCUGUUCUUUUUUCCUCUCCUCCAGGAAACCCAGACCUGGCCUUCAAGGUCACAUCCUGCCUACAUGUCUGUGUCUCCAGGAUUGGGUGGGCAGAUAUGUCUGCUACCCUACCCCCAAACCCUACCAUCGUCACACACUGCUCUCUUUUUGAUCUUUGUCAUUGCAGAAACUCCUAAGCAGGAUGCUCAGUUACCUCACAGUCUUGGCUUUGGGUUUAGAGGAAACCCCUUGUAAAUCAAAGAAUCAAACUAAUUAACUAUUUUUUUGCCCUAUGUUUUUGGACACAAUAAUUCUAAAAUUCUCCUUAAAUCAGCGUGGAAGCCUCAAGCAGCUACCCAAAGUAUCAGGAAGAAAGAAACACAUGAAAUCAAUAUAUAAUAUCUGAUCUUCUACCAGCUGACCAAUCUCUAUUACAAAAGGGAUAAAUGGUCACCAACUGGCAGAACACCAAGAGAAAGUUAAAAGCAUCACUUUGUUUUCAAUAAAGCAUAGAUUUAAAAAUAUUAUUUUGUCAGAACUUGUGUAACUGUGCAUAUUUGUAACCCAAGGGAAAAUAUUUUUAAAAAGAGGCAGGGAACAAAGUGGUCACAGUGAACUCCACUAACUCAUAACAUCAAUUCUACAUCUGAACUUGAGAACACCGGUCCCACACCACCCCCAGGGAUGGGGAGACUCCCACAGCAAGGGUUUGGGUGCUUUGUACCAGUAGUGCCAGGCCCUAAAAAAAUACUAAACAUAAAUCUAACAUGCUCCUAUUUACAAAUGAUUUAUAUUGGAAAUUAAUAUUAACCAAUGGGAUUAAUUUGCUCCAUACAAUUGUAUUUUGAGUUCUGCUAUAUAUCAUCUUGUUAUAGCCAAUGGAGGUACUAUAGUAACCAAAGUGUUCUUACCCUUUGAAGCAUUUGUUGGUUAAACAUAAAGAAAAAAUACUAAUUUUGAUCAUAACUGUAAAGAAAAAUAAAUCAGGUAACAGGAUAAGUUAGAAAAUACUUGAAAUAAGGAUACUAUUUUAGAAAGUAUGGUCUGAAGAGAAAGAAUUCUCUGAAAAAGGAACAUUUUGAGGUAAGAUAGGCCUGAAAAUAUUAAGGUCCUGAUACAAGAGUCAGUUUAGGAUGUUUGAGGAACAGAAAAAACAUUUCAUGACUUGAGACAGACAGGAAAAAGAGGGAGAGAAGUCAGAAUGGUUGGGAGGUAAGAGCCGGAAAAGACCACAAAGAAGUUGAAUUUUUUUAUUCUAAUUUCUAUGGGAAAAAAUGAGAUUUUACCAGGGAAGGGAUAUGAUCUGAAUUCUAGGCUAAAUGCCAACAAUUUCUAUAGAGUGUUCUAAUAAUUGUUAAGUAGCUCUAUUAUCCAAAUGAUGACAAUGCAGGUACCCAGAUACCUGCUUGGUGUUCCCAUAUCAUCACAUAACUCAAGAGGCUCUUAAAAUUCCAGCCUCUUGAAGUUUGAAACUUCUGCAUCACAGCAACCUGAGUCCUUUCAGGAGUUGACCCACAUUGCAGAAUACCACAGAGGAAUGUUCUUUUCUUUUCCCUCUGGGUCAGAAACCAGUAAGGAUCUUCCCCUCUGAUUAUAUCCAAGAAAAUCAACAGCCCCUGCUACCAACCUAGAUAAAUGAACUGACCUACCAAGUUACAGGGAAGACCUAUGACUCUGACCUUGGUACCACAAUUCAGGUUCUAGGAUUGAAGCAAACAAAGCCAAACUGGUAAAGACAAGCAUGUUUCCUAUUUCAGACAUCAGGCCUGGAAACACAUUGUUCAUAAAUACAAUGACUUCAGUAGCUGUCCUUUGGUUGAACUUUCUUUCCUCUGCUUUUGGCUACUAUCUUGAUGGCUUUUUUAUAGCUCCUGAUACCAUAGCUCAUUAGCUCUUAAAUGAAAUAUCUACACUGGAUUUUUUACCUGCCCAUGUCUAAAUAGCUUCUGAUGACUUAGGGAAUAAAAGAAGGGACUGACUGUAUUUAACUUGGAAUGGUAUGAAUAUGUAUAUUUUGGGGUAGGUAUGCUCUCUUUAGGGUUGACACCUAAACUUUCAAGAGCUACAAAUGAAAAAAAUGACAUGCUUCCCAUGCCACAGUGAAGCCUCAAGGGUCUCAAUAAAACAUCACUUAAUAUUCAGGAGAUUUCUUUCAUGCAUGCCGUCCUUAAUCUCAGGCUACUGAGAGGGUUAGUGGAAGCACUCCAUGAGCAGAAGCAUAAAUCUCAAGUCUAAUUAGUAAUGCUAUUCAGCUUUAAGACAAGCUCACAUGCCCUUUGUAGGGCUUUGAGUUGAUAAAGCCACUGGAUCAAUAUCAGUUGAAAGGUUGUUUUUCUCUGUUCACACAUGGAACCCGACAAAGGAAAGAAUUCUUCCUAGGAAACAGCAGGGAGAUCUAUUUCUUCAGAAGUGAGUGAACAUAUAUAGACAAUGGCCAUUUUUCACAAUAAACAUUAGCUGAACCAUUACUUUAUAAAGCACAGAUUUAUUGGGUGAGUUUGUGUGAAUGUGUGCAUUUGGCAAAGUUCUCAAAGGUUGUUCUUUUUUUCAUGAGAGGGGGGACAAAAAGAAAAGGCCUCUCACCAAAGGCCAAGGAAACUUUUAGCUAAGAAAGGAACUCUGAUGGCCUGUAAUGUAACCCAUGGAAUAAUUGUAGCCAGAGCCAAAAAGCACAGUCAUUGGAAAGGCCUCAGUCGGUAAGAACCAGGCUGUGCUGAGGGGCCCUCCAAAUGGCUGUUCUGUAAUCUUAAUAGCCUUUACUACAAGAAAAUGACCUUGAGAUGAUUUUCAAGUCCUGAACUUCUUUAUGAAAGAAAAUAUUGGGAGGGAAUAAGAAAAUUAUGGACAGGCUUAAAAACUGAAUAGAAGAGGAAAUUCUUUUGGAGUUUAUUUAGAGAGAAAAUAGUUAAACUCUUUUGAAAUUAUCUUUUAUCUUAAAAGUAUAAAAGAGGGCCUUGGGGAGGAAAAAGAACUGGACACAUGGUCAGAUCAAGCCUUCACAGGCCAACUGCUGAAAAAAAUUAAAUUAAAAGCCAUCAAUUUAAUUAGGUCACCUCAGCACUUUGAUCAGGGAGACAAUUUACCAAGUGUGAUGUUGCUCAAUAUUUGGCUGUUAAGCUGAAGGAAGAAACAAAGAAUCGAUUGUUGUAGAAACUGCCAUUGAUAUGCACAUAGAAGAAGCAUCUAAUAAGCAGGUGGGCAGCAGGGAUGGUCACUGUACUCUCAAUUUGCAUUUGCCCACCUCACAUUCCCUUCUCAGCCUAUCCCUGUCCUGCUCUGCACCCUGGGGCCUGGCCCCCACAAACUUCCAGGAGCUGCUGGCUUCUGGGUGGGUUUCAUGCUUGCAAGUGGGAAGAGAGACCUGCUUGAGUAUUUCUUCUCUGUUCUGUCCUCUCUUUCCACUGCUUAUCUCUGACAUGUCAGCAUUCUUUCAGGUCACUGUCUCCAUCACUAUAGUCCUCAGUGGGCUCUGAGAACACAAUUCCCGCCGACACCCUGUCCUUCAGCGCUGCUGGUGAUAAUGGCUUUCAUCCUCACUGAUCUCUGGCUGCCUCACCAGCCCUUUUUCUCCCCUCCCCACUCCUCUCCUGACAGCCACUUCUCUACAUUUGCCUCACUUAAACCUCUUGAGCUUGGCUGUUUUUCCUGCCACAACACUGACCCACAUGGUCCCAAAUACAUUUUCGACAAGAAAGACUACAACUCUAUUCUAAGUCAAAAGGCCACAGUGUGCAAUGGUCCCUAAUUUAGAUUCAAUCCCUUAAUGUGGAAAAUAAUGUCAUAUUCAGACAGAACUCAGAUUGGCAGUUCAUUGUUUUCUUGAGUCAUUUUCAACAGGAGCUCAUGUUCUUUAUAUACUUAUUCUGGAAGGUCAGGGCCAGACCCUGAAGAUAUCCACGAUAAGAUUUCCAUUACUAGGAACCCCCAAAGAAGGGAUGAAACAGCAGAGGAAAUUGUAGCAAAUUUUACAUUUGGUGUUAAGAGAGCUUAUGUUUCUAGCAAUAUUCCCCAAAGAACCAUUUAUAACCAUUUAUAAAAAUCUUGCAUUUGUUUUUCUCCCAGGUUAUGUGAUAAUCAAGAAAAAAACAGAGAGAAGAAAGCAGGGAAAGGUAGAGUUCAAAGGAUUGGAGAGGGGAAAAAGGAGACAGCUACUAAUUCUUCAGGAUCAACCCGGGCUAAACAAAUUCUCUUUUUUGGACAAUGGAAUAAUUUUACUUGCAGAAUGAUUAAUGAAUGCCAAUAUUUUUGCUUUGAAACAAGGUCCAGCCUACAUCAACAUUUAAUUUGCUACCUGGACGAGACUUCUGAACAACCAUCCUGGAUACCUCCUCCAUGCUCCUCACUCUGCCACAACCCACUGUCCUGCGACCUGCUUUAUUUUUAUCUCAAGGCAUGUGGCACUACCCAUUGUAUAUGUGUGCUUGUGAACCGUUGAUCUUGCUCUCUAAAAUGCAGUUCCCGGGGCCAGGCGUGCUGUAUGCAGAUGCACCAGAGUCAGGCUUUGUGAGCUUCAAGAGUCACACAAGCAGGGGAACCCGGCAAGGCCAGAAACCUGCAGUGGUGAUUCCUCCUGAAAGGCAGAUGGAUGAGUGGGAUGGGCCAAACAGCUGUGAUUACAUUUUGUCUCAGGAACUCUGCAUCAAAGACACUUAUUUAUUCAAAAGCAAUUCUCUCCAAAAAUUACAUUUCUUUUUUCUUGAAACCUGUUUCAGAGCUGAUCCUCAUGUUGCUAGUGGCAGAGAAUGAAGCGUCUCUCUUCCUUGGUGCUGGGUUUUCUUCAUACAAAAAUAAAAAGAAAAGGCUCCAGAUGGAGAGCCUCACAUUGUCGGCAGAUUUAGAAAAACUCCCCUGGAAUUUGUAUUGGUGGUGCAGUUUGGUGCAGACUGACAAGUGAGUAAUCUCCCAUCUUAUCGUUUUAAUUUCAGGCUUCAGAGAUGCCCAGCUCUGUUGUUCAAAGAGUUUUAUUAAAAAUUUGUGAGAAGGGAAAAGAAGUCUCUGUGGACCUGUCUGAUUUCAUUAUCUCUGACAGAGCGCACAAAUGGAGCAGAGCCGACAGAGGGUUGGAGACGGCCAUUCAUGGCACUGGGGUGAGGCAAAGGCCUCGGAAGCUCUGGGUACAGAUCACAGAUGUUCUGAUCUGCAGGAUCUCUCAUACGACCCUGAGCCUCCAUAUGUGACCUAGUGCCUACUUCCUGGACAUUAAACCACCAACGUUCUGGCCACUAGCCCCCAACUUUAACAAGUUCCACUUCCUGUAAUAUCUGUGAGUGCUCAUCUAACUGGCAAAACACAUUCUUGCUGGGCACACAGGGUGCACACCUGUAGU